UGGGGAAUAUUGCACAAUGGGGGAAACCCUGAUGCAGCGACGCCGCGUGAGCGAAGAAGGUUUUCGAAUCGUAAAGCUCUGUCCUAUGAGAAGAUAAUGACGGUAUCAUAGGAGGAAGCCCCGGCUAAAUACGUGCCAGCAGCCGCGGUAAUACGUAUGGGGCGAGCGUUGUCCGGAAUUAUUGGGCGUAAAGGGUACGUAGGCGGUCUAUUAAGUCAGGUGUGAAAGCGUGAGGCUUAACCUCAUUAAGCACUUGAAACUGAUAGACUUGAGUGAAGGAGAGGAAAGUGGAAUUCCUAGUGUAGCGGUGAAAUGCGUAGAUAUUAGGAGGAAUACCGGUGGCGAAGGCGACGUUCUGGACUUUUACUGACGCUAAGGUACGAAAGCGUGGGGAGCAAACAGG
rnacentral:rRNA from 1 species